rnacentral:tRNA from 1 species
GGACAAAUAGCUCCAACGGUAGAGCAGCGGGUUGAAGCCCCGUGGUUGCAAGUUCGAAUCUUGCUUUGUCCACGA